rnacentral:tRNA from 3 species
GGUGGUCCGGAUUGGCGUCCGGCGCUGACUGUAAAUCAGUAGCCCUCCGAGUUCGAGUCUCGGGUCCACCAC